rnacentral:rRNA from 1 species
CGUUGAGAGGCAGGGUGUGUAAGCGCAGCGAUGCGUUGAGCUAACCGGUACUAAUGAACCGUGAGGCUUAACCUUACAACGCCGAAG